AAUCUUAUAGUUUAAAUAAAAUAUAAAACUGCAAAUUUUAUGAUGAUACUUUCUAAGAUUU
rnacentral:tRNA from 1 species